AGCAGCCGCGGUAAUUCCAGCUCCAAUAGCGUAUAUUAAAGUUGUUGCAGUUAAAAAGCUCGUAGUUGAAUUUCGGGGUUCAUCCGUUGGUCGGGCUUUUUGGUCUGUACUGGCGUGAUGGAUUCCUACCUUCUGAAUAACCGGCAUGCCAUUAAUUUGGUGCGCCGGGGAAGCAGGACUGUUACCUUGAAAAAAUUAGAGUGCUUAAAGCAGGCUUAUGCCUGAAUACAUUAGCAUGGAAUAAUGAAAUAGGACGGCAUGGUUCUAUUUUGUUGGUUUCUAGGAUCACCGUAAUGAUUAAUAGGGAUAGUUGGGGGCAUUAGUAUUCAAUUGUCAGGGGUGAAAUUCUUGGAUUUAUUGAAGACUAACUUCUGCGAAAGCAUUUGCCAAGGAUGUUUUCAUUAAUCAAGAACGAAAGUUAGGGGAUCGAAGACGAUCAGAUACCGUCGUAGCCUUAACCAUAAACUAUGCCGACUAGGGAUCGGACGAUGUUAAUUUUUUAAUGACUCGUUCGGCGCCU
rnacentral:rRNA from 1 species